rnacentral:rRNA from 1 species
CCUACGGGAGGCAGCAGUGGGGAAUAUUGCACAAUGGGGGAAACCCUGAUGCAGCGACGCCGCGUGAAGGAAGAAGUAUUUCGGUAUGUAAACUUCUAUCAGCAGGGAAGAAAAUGACGGUACCUGACUAAGAAGCCCCGGCUAACUACGUGCCAGCAGCCGCGGUAAUACGUAGGGGGCAAGCGUUAUCCGGAUUUACUGGGUGUAAAGGGAGCGUAGGCGGUUUAGCAAGUCAGAAGUGAAAGCCCGGGGCUCAACUCCGGGACUGCUUUUGAAACUGUUGAACUAGAGUGCAGGAGAGGUAAGUGGAAGUCCUAGUGUAGCGGUGAAAUGCGUAGAUAUUAGGAGGAACACCAGUGGCGAAGGCGGCUUACUGGACUGUAAAUGACGCUGAGGCUCGAAAGCGUGGGGAGCAAACAGGAUUAGAUACCCCUGUAGUC